UGCUGUUUUUCCACUCUCUUUGCAGUGUUUAAUAUUGAAAACCUUGCCGUUGUCCAUACCCCCAGCAUAGUGUGUGUCUUUCUGGACAGAUUGAUGAGAAAUGCACUUGUACGAGAAUGCUGAGCGUGCGAUGUACGCAUGGAACGCUGUGGAUGUAGAGGUUAGUGGUCUGCUGCAGCACAGCCACAUCAUCGGCCUGGAAGAGAAGCCAGAGAACGACAACACUCCGUCGCACCUGAUCGUCGACUUUGGUGGCCCGGUUGAACAUUUCAUGCUGGUGGAAUCCGGGACAGUUCUUGAUUGCUCAAACUAUCGAGGGAAGGAGCCACGCGAGGUCGUCACUGUGUGGGUGCUGCUGCACGAUAGCCUGAAUCGCUCCUGGAAGUGGUAUCCCGGGAAACUCUUGACAUACCGCUUCAAGCAGCUGCACAAUAUGGCGCUGGUUGAAGUGAUGAUAGGCGGACAGUGUCGUCUCGAGCUGCUUCCCCACCGACAGAUUCGAGAAUCCUCAGGAGACGUUGUCAAGCCAGAACUCCUUCCAGUGGCUCAUUUCGCAAGGCAGGCUCUCGAUGUGCCUAACGGGAACUGGCCACUGCUGUCGUCUGCAGACUCUGCAUCGGAGUGGCUGAUGGGCCAAGUUGAGCAGAAGCUGCACCUGCGCGUUCUCACAGUUCCCUGUCAAACAAAGCACUAUUUUCGACGACGACAGGUGCUACUUUUGACGAACUACGUUACGAAAAACAACGAGUUGCGGGCUGAGACAAUUCGCAAGAAGCUGCGGAGUGUUGGCGAAGACUGUUUGGCUUUGCCACUGGAAGUUCUGAGGGAAGUCUUCCACUCCCUGGACACCAUCGAUCGACAGCGAUGCCGUCGCACCUGCCAGCUGUGGGACGCCCUCCUCACGUCGCCGGAGCUGUGCCGAGAAGUGCAUUUAACGGAGACACUGGCCAGUUCUUCGCUGCCCGCGCAGUGGAGUUCAGAAUUUGUCCUGUACGCCUGUAUCUUCAAACUCAUCGGGCCCGUCACUCGCACCAUGUGCUUCCGCGGCACAAGCUCUCAGAAGCUUCCCUGGAGGCUGCACGGCGAGGCGCUGGAUCUUAUUAGCAAAGCGUUGGCCGCCGCCGGCACACGACUCGAUCGGUUCAUUGUGUUCCAGCGCUCGAUUCAUGUCUCUUCAUCCGGUAUUUCUUCUGAUCGAUGGAAUUUGAGCGUGUUUUGCACCAAGAUCGCCGCGAGCGUGUCCAAGCUGUUGCCUAGCUGUGAUCGUGUGAUUUGGAAGGAUUGUAUCCUCACCGACAAGGAAGUUGCUCUCUUGAUGAAGUUCCGCAUUCCCGCUGCCGUCUUCACGCCGGGGCAUGCCGAUGCCGCCCACAUUGCGGACCUGUUGGAGCAGCACCUGUAUUGCGAAGGACAACCGUUGAAGGUGCGGCACAUCACUCGCUUCUUUGCCGGUCAUGUCGACGGCGCAACAACGGCCAGGAGAGUGAUGCAGAUUCUGGAAGACUUCCAACACUGCGAUCCACCUCCGUCGGCACAUUACCGGGGGCGCCAGUGGAGUGCGGACCACGUGAACGAAGUUGAUCUGACCAAAGUGAACCGGUUCUGCUUAUACGCCUUGUCGCAGCACAUGUCCAGCAUCCAGAAUGGCAGCCCACCCGCUGAGUAAUCCAGCCACCACAGCAGUGUUUCCAGUAACGGCGAGUCUGAGCAGGAAGUGUGAAAUGGUUCGUGUCUUUGAAAGAAAAGCAAAUCAUCCAGCAAUUCAACCUGAGUUUCUCAAGGAAAACGAAAAGCUGCAGCGGAACGAGCAGCUGGGUAUCGGGGAACGCGGUUUGGCGAUGCCGUUUGAAGUGC